rnacentral:rRNA from 1 species
UUCACCGGUUUCCGCCCCGCAGCUAACGCAUUAAAGUGCCCCCGCCUGGGGAUACGGCCGCAAGGUAAAACUCAAAGGAAUUGACGGGGGCCCGCACAAGCGGCGGAGCAUGCGGAUUAAUUCGAUGCAACGCGAAAGAACCUUACCAAGGCUUGACAUUUCUCGAUCGCCGUAGAGAUACGGUUUCCCCUUUGGGGCGGGUUCACAGGUGGUGCAUGGUUGUCGUCAGCUCGUGUCGUGAGAUGUUGGGUUAAGUCCCGCAACGAGCGCAACCCUCGUUCCAUGUUGCCAGCACGUAAUGGUGGGGACUCAUGGGAGACUGCCGGGGUCAACUCGGAGGAAGGUGAGGACGACGUCAAAUCAUCAUGCCCCUUAUGUCUUGGGCUUCACGCAUGCUACAAUGGCCGGUACAAUGGGUUGCGAUACUGUGAGGUGGAGCUAAUCCCAAAAAGCCGGUCUCAGUUCGGAUUGGGGUCUGCAACUCGACCCCAUGAAGUCGGAGUCGCUAGUAAUCGCAGAUCAGCAACGCUGCGGUGAAUACGUUCCCGGGCCUUGUACACACCGCCCGUCAAGUCACGAAAGUUGGUAACACCCGAAGCCGGUGGCCUAACCCUCCGAAUUCGUCGACAACAGAGUUUGAUCCAGGUCAGCC